UACGGCGGGGGCAAGCGUUGUUCGGAAUUACUGGGCGUAAAGGGCCCGUAGGCGGCCAACUAAGUCGGAUGUGAAAUCCCCAGGCUUAACCUGGGAACUGCAUCCGAUACUGGAUGGCUUGAAUUCGGGAGAGGGAUGCAGAAUUCCAGGUGUAGCGGUGAAAUGCGUAGAUAUCUGGAGGAAUACCGGUGGCGAAGGCGGCAUCCUGGACCGACAUUGACGCUGAACGGCGAAAGCUAGGGGAGCAAACGGG
rnacentral:rRNA from 1 species